rnacentral:lncRNA from 1 species
AUACAUUAAAGGGAAGUCUGAGAAAACAAAAAAAGAAAAGAAAAAAAAAAGUUUGAGAAAAAGGAAAAGAUAAAUGAAGUCUGAGGAAAAAAAAGGAAAGACUAACGUCACAUUGCUUUGACAUUUUAUCGUCACGGACAGGUCUCAUCGUGAAGGCUUACCGCUUAAUCACGGCGAUUAGACCUUCAUUGACAUAACUUUUUCAACGACGCCUACGUGCGGUAAUUUCAUUUUUUUUUUGUUUUAUUCGUCUAAACAGUACUACUACGUGGCAUUAAUAUUGAAUUACUUCUUUUUUUUUUUUAAUUCAUCCAUAUUUUGUUUUCAGCUUAAAAUGGAAAUAAAAACUCAUAAAUGUGUUAACGAGAGGAAUCGUAAAACUAACACUUUUUUUGAAUAUGAACUAUAAAGAAAAAUACGUGCUAUAUAUGUUUAGGGAUUUGUUUUGGCUGGACAGCGAUCCCUAGUCUAGGUCUAGGUCACGAGUCAUUAUUAUUAGCCGAUGAAGGUAUGUGAUCUUCUUCCAUCUUUACCCAAACUAAUACCAUGAAUAUGAUGUAUUCUUUUCUGUAUUUAGAAAUCUUUAGUAGCUCAUUCAAUUACAAAGUUGAAAAACUUAGCUUUCACGUUAAUACUUCCAACAUUUUGGAAAAUGUAUAAGUACAAAGGAUAUGAGGGUUAUUUAGUUCUUCUCUACAAAUUAAAAUUUUGCCUAUGCAUAAUUCAUCAAUAUAUAAGAUGUGCACACACAUGAUGUAAACAAUAGACAUGACAAUGUUAAGAGUAAAACCGUUAGUGGUUUAUCUGAAAACAAG